UGCGAGUCUUUGCAGUAAUGCAAGGCAUACGGCUCAGUAACACGUAGUCAACUUACCCUAUGGACGAGGAUAAUCUCGGGAAACUGAGCAUAAUACUCGAUAGAUCAUAAUGCCUGGAAUGGUUUAUGGUUGAAAUGAUUCGUCGCCAUAGGAUGGGACUGCGGCCUAUCAGCUUGUUGGUGAGGUAAUGGCCCACCAAGGCGAUUACAGGUACGGGCUCUGAGAGGAGAAGCCCGGAGAUGGGUACUGAGACAAGGACCCAGGCCCUAUGGGGCGCAGCAGGCGAGAAAACUUUGCAAUGUGCGAAAGCACGACAAGGUUAAUCCGAGUGAUUUCUGCUAAAGAAAUCUUUUGCAAGUCAUAAAACCACUAGUGAAUAAGGGGUGGGCAAGUUCUGGUGUCAGCCGCCGCGGUAAAACCAGCACCUCAAGUGGUCAGGAGGAUUAUUGGGCCUAAAGCAUCCGUAGCCGGCUCUGUAAGUUUCCGGUUAAAUCCAUGUGCUCAACGCAUGGGCUGCCGAAAAUACUGCAUAGCUAGGGAGUGGGAGAGGUAGACGGUACUCGGUAGGAAGGGGUAAAAUCCUUUGAUC
rnacentral:rRNA from 1 species